ACUGAAUAGAUACCCUGGUAGUCCUGGCCCUAAACGAUGUCUACUAGAUCGUGGCGGCACUGACGCCGUCAUGGUCGAAGCAAAAGUGUUAAGUAGACCGCCUGGGAAGUACGGUCGCAAGGCUAAAACUCAAAGAAAUUGACGGGGGCUCACACAAGCGGUGGAGCAUGUGGUUCAAUUCGAAGCAACGCGAAGAACCUUACUUGGGCUUGACAUGCUAGGAUUAUCUUGAUGAAAGUCGAGUAGGCCCCGCAAGGGGUACAACUAGUACAGGUGCUGCAUGGCUGUCGUCAGCUCGUGUCGUGAGAUGUCGGGUUAAGUCCCUUAACGAGCGAAACCUUUGCCCUUAGUUGCCAUCGGGUUAUGCCGGGCACUCUAAGGGGACUGCCGGUGUCAAACCGGAGGAAGGUGGAGAUGACGUCAAGUCCUCAUGGCCUUUAUGCCCAGGGCUACACACGUGCUACAAUGGCGUCCACAAAGCGAGCCGAGAGCGCAAGCUGGAGGAAAUCGCAGAAAUGACG
rnacentral:rRNA from 1 species